rnacentral:rRNA from 1 species
AGUGAACGCUGGCGGUAGGCCUAACACAUGCAAGUCGAACGGCAGCACAGUAAGAGCUUGCUCUUACGGGUGGCGAGUGGCGGACGGGUGAGGAAUACAUCGGAAUCUACUUUUUUGUGGGGGAUAACGUAGGGAAACUUACGCUAAUAUCGCAUACGACCUACGGGUGAAAGCAGGGGAUCUUCGGACCUUGCGCGAUUGAAUGAGCCGAUGUCGGAUUAGCUAGUUGGCGGGGUAAAGGCCCACCAAGGCGACGAUCCGUAGCUGGUCUGAGAGGAUGAUCAGCCACACUGGAACUGAGACACGGUCCAGACUCCUACGGGAGGCAGCAGUGGGGAAUAUUGGACAAUGGGCGCAAGCCUGAUCCAGCCAUACCGCGUGGGUGAAGAAGGCCUUCGGGUUGUAAAGCCCUUUUGUUGGGAAAGAAAAGCAGCAGGUUAAUACCCCGCUGUUCUGACGGUACCCAAAGAAUAAGCACCGGCUAACUUCGUGC